GAAGUGCUGAGGAGUCCCAUACUAGGACGAAACGGUCGUCCAGUGC
rnacentral:hammerhead_ribozyme from 1 species